CACCUUCAUCAUAUUUUUAGGAUUGUACACUUGGAUUUUUAUCUAAAAGAGAUCUUAAAACUCAUUCUCGUCUUACUCAUGAUAUAAUUGAUACAGGUUUAAAUUUGAAAUGUAAAUCCUGUGACAAGACAUUCUCUUCUAAAAAGACUAUGUAUGCUCAUAUGCGAGGCAUUCACGGAAUCUCGAGUAAAAUGAUAAAACGCGAGAAACCAUUAUCUACCACCUGCAUUAUUUGUGGAGAAAAGAAAAAGAGUGAGCAUAACUUAACUCAACAUAUGAAAAAAUUCCACGAGGGGGCCUUCCCAGAACCCAUCAGCUGUCCCCAGUGUAGUGAUAUUAAACAGUUCAGAAACCGUAAGUACCACACCCCAUACUCCUUCGACUUGCACAUAAAGCAGAUACACAGCAAUGGGGCUGAAGGGAAGGUCGUCUGUGAAUAUUGUUGUAAAGAGUUUACAGGAAGUUUAGGGAAAGUGAAGUUUGCAUUAAAAGAACACAUUCAAGCAGUUCACAUGGGAAUAAGGAAAGCAUGUGAUGAGUGCGGGAAAACGUUCAUCAGUAAUAUUGUUCUAAAUAAACACAAGAAGCAUGUUCACAGACGAGAGGGUGCUUAUCCUUGUAAAGGGUGUGGGAAAGUUUUCCGCUACAGUCAGCAGGCCAUAGACCAUGAGUACAAAGACAGAGGAUUGACCCCGUAUACUUGUAAGUUUUGUGUGUUCAAGACAGCUGAUAACUGGGCCCUUGCAAAACAUAAAAAAUCUUGCACAAGAGACCCCUGCCUUCAGCCAUCUAUACCUAUAUCAAUCACUCAUCAUAUACCUACCAUACCUCCCAUCAACCUCACUUCAGAACAAAAAUGUAUGAUCAACAUUUAAACCAUUGUGCACUGCCUAGGUCCCGGUUUAAACCACUGUCCACUGCCGUGCAAAAGGUUAAAACCAUUCUGCACUGCCUUGUACACAAUUUUAACCACUGUGCACAGUUUUGUACACGGUUUAAACCAUUGUGUUCUGCUCUGUACAUGGAUUAAACCAUUGUUCACUGUUUUAUAAAUGGUUGAAACCAUUGUGCCAUGCUUUAUAUUCAAUAUUGUGUACAGCUGUGUAUUCAAUAUAAACCAUUUUAUAAUAUUAUCUACUGGUUUUAAAUUGUAUAAAUGUUAAACGAUUUCUCAGCUGGAAAGAUAAAUCAGAGAAUCUAUUUUUGAUGAAUUGUGUUGAACCAGAGACGUAAACGGGGGGGGGGAAAAAACCCCCCCCCCCCCGCGGGGACUGUUGCUAAUCUAAUUUGAAAGAACCUGUUUUGUUUAGCACCUUUUUCUUUUUUGUUGAUAUUUAAGUUUUAAAAAAUUAUAAGAUAUAUAAUACACGAGUAUUCUAAGGGAUAGUUCACUAGUUUUAAAAUCCUUUCCAGCACAAAAUUGGUAUUUCAGAAUCAUUUUGAAUGUGGUAAACAAUCCUUUUUAAUUCUGAAAGAACCUAAAAUAUCCCCUGCAAUAAUUUGGUUAAUUCUCUCUUCCCAGGAAACCACUGGAAAUCUACGCCGAGAAUCUUUUCAUUUUUAAAUCAUUCAUGAAGGAUUCCGCAUGUCAACUGUGUCAAAACCAAGGCAUAGGAAGCGUUUUCCAAUCAAAGCCAUUUCUCAACCUAAAGCCUGCACAUUUUAGUAAAAUAUAAAGUUGUAAUCGUUAAUUUAGUUUUUAGCUCAAUUUCUUCUUAGUUUUAGCAAAUGUGAUAAACAAUGUGUAUCUUAAUAAACAUUUUACUUUUUAUAAA
rnacentral:misc_RNA from 1 species